rnacentral:rRNA from 1 species
UACGUAGGGGGCGAGCGUUAUCCGGAUUUAUUGGGCGUAAAGGGUUCGUAGGCGGUUUGUUAAGUCUAAGAUUUAAGCCCGAGGCUUAACCUCGGUUCGUUUUAGAAACUGGCAGACUUGAGUGUGGUAGAGGCAAGUGGAAUUUCUAGUGUAGCGGUUAAAUGCGUAGAUAUUAGAAGGAACACCAGUGGCGAAGGCGGCUUGCUGGGCCAUCACUGACGCUGAGGAACGAAAGCGUGGGGAGCAAAUAGG